GACAGAGGGUGCAAACGUUGUUCGGAAUUACUGGGCGUAAAGCGCGUGUAGGCGGCUUUGCAAGUCGGGUGUGAAAGCCCUCAGCUCAACUGAGGAAGUGCGCCCGAAACUGCAGAGCUUGAGUACCGGAGAGGGUGGCGGAAUUCCCCAAGUAGAGGUGAAAUUCGUAGAUAUGGGGAGGAACACCGGUGGCGAAGGCGGCCACCUGGACGGUUACUGACGCUGAGACGCGAAAGCGUGGGGAGCAAACAGG
rnacentral:rRNA from 1 species